CUGGCUGUAGACUACUACUGGACUCAUACAGGACUGGAAAGGCAGGGGGUAACGAGCGAAACACCAGCGUUCAGCGAGCAGCUUGAGCGGCGGUACGCUGAAGUAAGAGCACUGGCUUUUGGAAAAACCUGCAGACUACGGGGCGAGUAAAGAGAGAGAGACAGCCUACCGCUGUUUCGGUCGAGCAGAGAGCGGGAUCUCCGGCGGCUGAAGAGUGGUUCUUGAAUCGGCCAGAUACUGUUCCAUCCUCUUUUCUGCCAAUCAAGCAAAGAUGAGGACAACACCCAAACUGGCACGAUAACAGCGCCGUAUUCGAAGAGGACCCAAUUGUUCCAAAAGGCCUUGAUUUUGCUCCGCCGCGGUCCGCGCGGAGGCUGCCGCAGCUGUGGACAGCAACAGGUGUUUUACCUACCAUGGUUGUGAUAAUUGGAUUUUCUGGACACCUGUAUGAGUGCAGUAUAUCCAGCGGAUUAUAACCAGGGAGAGGGUGUCCUUCUGAUGUUCUUGAUGCACAUCCAAGGGUACUCGUCCGUUGAUGGGUGAUGGAGAUGGAGUUCCUUCUGCUAUAACUCUGGCCUCCAAGAACAGCUUCAAAGACAGGACCUAAGGAGAGAUCAGUCACGCAAAACACAUCUACACACCACUGCUUCUGCUGCAAAUGUGAGGGCAUGAUCUGUCUCUGUGAAGACAAAACUUGCACCUUGUAAAAUUCUCAGAACAUGGUUCAUUUUGAAACUGUUACAACUGAAACAACAAAACUUUUUACCAAUAGAGGUUACGCUGCUUAUGAUAUGAACUAUAUCGUCCGUUGAUGUAUUGGAUUUCAUGAUGUUACAUAUCUUCAAUCUGUGAUCAUAUUAAAUCAAUGAAAUCAUGGUGUGCUGUGUCUUCGGUAGAAACACACUGAGUUUUCAAAACAUUAAUAAUAUUGAGCUGUAC
rnacentral:lncRNA from 1 species